UACGAAGGGGGCUAGCGUUGCUCGGAAUCACUGGGCGUAAAGCGCACGUAGGCGGCUUUCUAAGUCAGGGGUGAAAUCCUGGAGCUCAACUCAAGAACUGCCUUUGAUACUGGAGAGCUUGAGUCCGGGAGAGGUGAGUGGAACUCCGAGUGUAGAGGUGAAAUUCGUAGAUAUUCGGAAGAACACCAGUGGCGAAGGCGGCUCACUGGCCCGGUACUGACGCUGAUGUGCGAAAGCGUGGGGAGCAAACAGG
rnacentral:rRNA from 1 species